UUCUAAGAUUUUUCCUGCCUUUGACCUUGAAAAUUCAAUUACUUAUUGGCUAUCAGGAUAUGACUCUUCAGUAAAAAUUUCAUAAGGAUAUAUGAAAAAUUGAAACUGGGCUCCAGACUGUUCACAAACUAACAAACUAGAGCACCGUACUCAUCGAGCGCAAAACUCCACCAACACUAGUUUCCAAUUCCACAAAUUUUUAUCUUGGAAAACU